rnacentral:misc_RNA from 1 species
GUGAAUCAUCAAAUUUUUGAACGCAAAUUGCGCUUCCUGGCAUCCCGGGAAGUAUGCCUGUUUGAGGGUCGGUUUUAACAAAAAGUCGGUUUGGUUGCAAAUUGUGACGUUUCCGGCGUUUGGGCUAUCUUAACUUUUUUGGUUAAGGGGCUUAAAAUUGACCUUAUUUGCGCAUUUUUAUUCGGACAUAAAUUUUUUUUUAUUCGUCUAUUCUUAAUGCCAAAAUCUUAUUAGUUGCGAUCACAUCAUGUGGUGUCGUGUCCAUAAAAUUUUCAUGAUUUGACCUCAAAUCAGGU